GAUAAAGAGCAGAAAGACAAGAAGGAGAAAAAGAACAAGGAAGAGAAAGGCAAGAGCAAAGGGGAAUCAGAAGAAGAAACCGAGGAAGAGAAGGAUGAUGAAAAAGGGAAAAACAAGGAAUCGGAUGAAGAAGACGAGAGACAGACAGAGGAAGAGGAGAAUGAUGAAAAAGGGGUGAAGAAGGAUAAGGAGAAGAAAAACAAGGAAAAGAAAGAGAAAAAGGACAACGAAAAGAAAGAUAAGAGCAAAGAGGAAACGGAGGAAGAGAAGGAUGAUGAAAAAGGAGAGAAGAAGGAUAAAGAGAAGAAAUGCAAGAAGAAUAAGAAAGAGAAAAAGGAUAAAGAAACGAAAGACAAGAGCAAAGAGGUGUCGGAUGAAGAGGAAGAGAAAGAUGACGAAGAAGGGGAGAAGAAGGAUAAAAAAAAGAAACACAAUAAGGAUAAGAAAGAAACAAAGGAUAAAGAAAAGAAAUACAAGAGCAAAGAGG
rnacentral:lncRNA from 1 species